rnacentral:rRNA from 1 species
UUAGCUGUAAAACAUCAACCUACACUCAAACCGCCAGGGAAUUACGAGCUCAAGCUUAAAACCCAAAGGACUUGACGGUUUCCCAUCCCCCUAGAGGAGCCUGUUCUAUAAUCGAUUCUCCCCGAUCAACCCAACCACCCCUUGAAUAAUCAGCCUGUAUACCUCCGUCACAAGCUUACCGUGUGAACACACCUAGUGAGCCCAAAGACUUUAUAUCAACACGUCAGGUCAAGGUGCAGCCCAUGGAGUGGAAAGAAAUGGGCUACAAUUUCUACCCUAGAACAAACGAAAGACUACAUGAAACACAGUCACUGAAGGCGGAUUUAGUAGUAAAAAGAAAAUAGAGAGUUCUUUUUAAUUAGGCACUGGGAUGCGUACACACCGCCCGUCAUCCUCUUCAAACAAUAUUUACACACGUCAUUGACACUAAUACUUUUACAGAAGAGGCAAGUCGUAACAUGGUAAGCGUACUGGAAAGUGUGCUUGGAAUAACAAAAUGUAACUUAAUAAAAGUACCUUGCUUACACCAAGAACAUGUCUGUAAAAAUCUGACCAUUUUGAGCUUAAAACCCAGCCCUACUCCCUCUCAAUAAAAUCUUUUUUCCCUCAUAAUAAAUUAAAACAUUUUCUCAACUAAGUAAAGGCGAUUAAAAAGUAUCUAGGAGCUCUAACACUAGUACCGCAAGGGAAAAGUGAAAUAAAAAUGAAACAGAUUAAAAGCACUACAAAGUAGAGAUCCCCUCUCGU